GCAUGAACUUCCAGGGAACCUACUGAAAAGUUAUUAGAGCUAAGUAGCCAUAAUGAUAUUGAUUUGGAAAACCAAGGUAUGCCUGUGCUCUUCCUCCUGGCCAACUCUCUUCUUAUAAGGAGGUAUGGAGGUACCACAAUCACCUCUCAUAAUGUAGUAUCCUCAUCUGUUCUGAUAUACAUAGCAGGCCUUUUCUGUUACUUCAUAAAAGAAGUUGAAAAUCAUAUAAAAAAUGUCACUACUUCUACUGUACAGUUCAAGUUUUGAAGCAAAUGGACUAUAAUAAAUAGAUCUUUCUUAACAAGUUCUAAAUGUUGGAUGUACAUAUUCAGUACCACUUACGAAUGCAUAAGACAUUUUUAUACAGUUUACAAGUAUUUUCUUUAAACUUCACCAUACUUAAACUUUGAUUUAAACUUCACUGUAGUUAAAACAUUUUCCAAAGUAAUGGGCUUAUUUUCACUUUCACAAAUUUGUAGAAACAGAGGUAUGAACUUCCUCAUUUUGUAUGCUGCUGUUUGAAGCUGACAGCUGGUCCAAUUCAUGAGGGCCACUAUAAGUAGUACUGAAUUGUAGUUAUUUCCUUGUUUUGUUAGAUUGACAGAAAAUCAUGUCAAUUUUUAACAAGUAGCACUUGUGACAUAAUGUCUCCUGUUCUCUGGAGCUUGCCUAUUUCUGUGAAAGAUUCAGACUGCUCGUGUAAACAACUAUUAAAUUUUUAUGUGCCUCCCAGAUCAUGUUUGCUGCAGAAAAUGUUUACCUCCCUAUUUCAGCCUGAAAACUUUUAAAUUCUAUUUUAAGAACUGAAGACAUCAGCUCAGAAUCAAGUCCUACAUGCCUAGAAGUUAAGCUUUUCAAAUUUUGCUUAUAUAUUUAUAUAUUAAUAAUUUGCUUAUGUAUUUAUAUAUACAAUUUUCUGAUUUAUGAGAAAUCUGGACAGGAAGCAAUACAUUUCUAUGGCACAAAGGACAACUGAGGGAUUUGAAUAGAAAAGCAAUGAAAUGAAAUCUGGUAAGAUAAUACAGAAAACAAAAAUAUCAAAACUAUUGUGGGAAAAAAAAAACCUCCAAACAAAUAAACAAACAAACAAACAAAAAAUACAGAACAAACAAAGAAAGCACACCAAAUCAACCACAGUUUUAUGAUGUUUCUAAAUUGAAUAAAAAGUCCUUUCCUUCUUUUCUAUUUGCGGAUAUUAAUCAGUUUUACAGUAGAAGAUAUUAGGAAACCUACAGUGCAUUUUGUAAAAAGUAUAGAAAACAAACUACAAACAAAACAAACAAAAAAAGAAAAAAACACAAAACCAACCAACCAACAAAAAAACAAAAAUCCAAAUAUUUUUAAAAUGAAUCUGGUAUCUGGUAUUGGUUACAGGACAAAUUGUUUUGCUCACAGUUGUUUAGAUCGCUUCGUUUACCUCUUGCCUUGCCCUCUCUUUAAUCAUAAUUUUAUGAUGAUGAAGCUUUUGUCUGUCCAAAGUGAUGCCUCUGACGAAGUAAAACACUUGCUUUAAAACUAUCCUAUGUGGUUUUGAUAUUAACCAUAUUCCAUAUAGAUGACCGUAACAUUUUAUCUUUUGGCCCUGUGUCAUUUGUAAACUUGAUUUACUUGCUUUUUAAAUGAAGCAGGACUUCAUUUCUUGUAACUUUCUGUGUGGUUUUACUGUAUUUGCUUAAGUAGCAGUAAAUUUUAUUAUUCUUACAAUCUUAUUCCACCAAUAUUUUUAAUUAAUAUUUGUCACUUAAAAUUCGAUGAAGUUUUGUAGUUCUUAUUUUUCUGGAAGUGCAUACUUUCUAGUUCUUUGCUAAUGUUUGAACUGGUUCCCCGUAUCCUCAUUGUCUAUUACAUUUAUUUUUCUCACAGUGAGGAUUAUGUAUUUUAGACACUGUCUGGCUAAUAUUUUAGGUUAAUCUGUAACACUUCAGUAUUACUGUCCUAAUACUGUAAAUGCACUGGUGAAUCUACACAUUCUGGUAUAAAACUGAGGCAUUUUUUCUCUUGUGGACCCAGAAUAUAACAUUUUAUAAACCAUCUUUGCUUAUAACUGAUAAAAAUUUACAGAAACUUGACAGAGAAGACAAAUUUCUUCAACAUGAGUGCUCCCAAAGACGCUGAACCUUGCGUAUAUUCUUGCUUAUUUACUCAGAUCAAGCUGAUGUACACAGAAUAAAAAUAUUCAUAGGUCUACAGGUUAAUUAAACUCCUUUAGUUAUUUGAGACACAGUGAAUGACUCUGUAUGCAUUCUUAGCUUAUACCUGUAAUUAAAUGCUUCAGG
ensembl:lncRNA